rnacentral:rRNA from 1 species
UACGAAGGGGGCUAGCGUUGUUCGGAAUUACUGGGCGUAAAGCGUGCGCAGGCGGCUUCUCAAGUCAGGGGUGAAAGCCCAGAGCUCAACUCUGGAAUUGCCUUUGAGACUGAGUGGCUUGAGUACGAGAGAGGUGAGUGGAAUUCCCAGUGUAGAGGUGAAAUUCGUAGAUAUUGGGAAGAAACACCGGUGGCGAGGGCGGCUCACUGGCUCAUUUCUGACGCUCAGGCGCGACAGCGU